rnacentral:rRNA from 1 species
AAUCAAAACUUUCAACAACGGAUCUCUUGGUUCUGGCAUCGAUGAAGAACGCAGCAAAAUGCGAUAAGUAAUGUGAAUUGCAGAAUUCAGUGAAUCAUCGAAUCUUUGAACGCACAUUGCGCCCGCCAGUAUUCUGGCGGGCAUGCCUGUUCGAGCGUCAUUUCAACCCUCAAGCACAGCUUGGUGUUGGGACUCGCGUUAAUUCGCGUUCCUCAAAUUGAUUGGCGGUCACGUCGAGCUUCCAUAGCGUAGUAGUAAAACCCUCGUUACUGGUAAUCGUCGCGGCCACGCCGUUAAACCCCAACUUCUGAAUGUUGACCUCGGAUCAGGUAGGAAUACCCGCUGAACUUAAGCAUAUCAAUAAGCGGAGG